CUUUGCGUUUCAUUCAAGGAGCUGAUGUUUCAUCGUAUGGUGGUGAAGGUACGCGUGCAAUUGAGUUGAUUAAUUUGAAAUUUGAUGUGAUUUUUUUUGUUUCUACUGAAAGUGUGAAUAUGUGGAGGAAUAGGGUGUGAUCGUUUGAUUUUAUUUUUUUAUUUUGGACAUUUUUGUGAUUUUUUACAUUGUUUUUGGUGUAACAUAACUGAAAAAUGUGUAGGAACAUGUAUAAUGGAAGUGUAUUUGCUUAAAAGGAUAUUAAUCCUACACAGAUAUACAAAUCAUAUGUCAAUUCUAGAAAGUUCUCAUAAAGCGUCCAUCCAAAAAGAUUCAUAUAUACAUGUUCUCAACAGUUGGAUACUGAAAUAAAUCUUUUGAGUUUAGUUUUUUUGUUUUCUCGUGGAACUGUUAUUUUAGUUGUACAUUUUCAACAACUAAUAACAUGAAAAUUUGGUAACAUAUUGUAAACACGGAAAUUCCUUAAACAAACGAGACAAGAACACGCGUACAAAAUAAUAUUUUGUAUUAAUAAUUUGGGGUUACAAUCUCUUUAUAGUUUGAUCCUCUGAUUCGAUUUCCGUAAGGUGUUGAUUUGUAGAUGUGCAAUUGAUUCAAGGGUCGUCGAGGCUUGAUCUUGGAUGAACGGUUAGAAGUUUCUUAAAGGGCCGUUAGGGCUUGAUCUUGAAGGUUGAGGGAAGUUUCUUCAAGGGCCUUUGGGCUUGAUCUUGAAGGUUGAUGGAUGGACGGAUCUUUAAGGGCUUUUGGGCUUGAUCUUGAAGAAUGGUUGUGUGGAUUUCUUCAAGGGCUUUUGGGCUUGAUAUUGAUGAAUAGUUGGAUGUGUGGAUUUGUUGAUGUUGUUGAUCCAAAGGGCUGUUGGGGCUUGAUCUUAGGAUGAACAGAUGAUGAACAGAUGAUGAACAAUGAACACUUUCUUCAAGGGCCGUUGGAGCUUGAUCUUGAAUUGGUGGAAGUUUUUCAAGGGCCGUCGGAGCUUGAUCUUGAAGAAGGAUUUGAUGAAGAACGAAGAGAGCUUUCUUGAUCCUUCGGGAUUUGCUUGGGAGCUUUGGAGUUUCAAAGCUUCAAGGUUUUGGUGUGAUGUGAAUUGGUUAGGAAUUGGUCUUUUUAAAAUGAAUGCCUUGGCUUCCUAUUUAUAGAAUUCCAAAACUUGAUUUUUGGAUUUAAAUAAUCAGAUGAAA
rnacentral:lncRNA from 1 species